rnacentral:rRNA from 1 species
UACAGAGGUCUCAAGCGUUUGUUCGGAUUCAUUGGGCGUAAAGGGUGCGUAGGCGGCGAGGCAAGUCUGGUGUGAAAUCCCGGGGCUCAACCCCGGAACUGCACUGGAUACUGCUUUGCUAGAGUACUGGAGAGGGAACUGGAAUUUACGGUGUAGCAGUGAAAUGCGUAGAUAUCUGGAGGAACACCGGUGGCGAAGGCGGCAUCCUGGACCGGCAUUGACGCUGAGGAGCGAAAGCCAGGGGAGCAAACGGG